UUGAAAGGGAAAUUUGAUAGGGCUUUCUA
rnacentral:sRNA from 1 species